GUUUUUUUUCUUUUUAUCAUUUUUAUUUUAAUAUUAUUUCUGCUUGGAGAAUGAAUGUACCGCUGAAGUGGAAUCGUCAGGUACACUUUCUAAUUGUUUUUGUCUUGUUCGCGAUUCUGGUAUUGAAUUGCCAGAAAUUGUGUUGGGGUGGUCAUUUCAAAUAAAUAUAUCAUUUCCCGCUCCUCAAGUAUAGGCAACCAAUAUAACAUCUUUUCUCGUCAAAUUGUCAAGUCGCAAAAACUUGUUUUGAAUCCCAUCUGUGAAAUAUAGAUACAUCAAUUGGAACUCAUUUUUCCGUAUUUCUCGAGUGUAGAGCAUCUCAGCUAAUCCGAAUAAAGAUUUUCUGUCUUCGACCAUUUGAGUUGGAUUAUUUGGAAAAUUGCAGAUAAUAUCAUAAUUUUGCUGAUUAUUUUGGAUAUUUAUAUCACGUUUUGGAAUCAAGCAGAAUUUCCGUCUUGUACGGGAUAAAAAUUCUACAUACUCUGAUAGAAAUUUCUAUAAAAGCCGCCCUCCAUCUUAGGCUUUCAAUUCUUUCAAUUCUUCUGAAUAUUUUACUGAUUCGAUAUAUAAGUGGAUCAACCUGAAUUAUUGGCGUGUUGGUUGAUGCAAAGACAUCCCUUGGACAUAGGCACCCCCAUUGCCUUAUACUGAGGGUUGGAAUAACUUCUAACCGGUUGGGAGCGAACCGAAUUCAACAUUUCCA